GGCUCUCCCUCUCCUCCGGCGACAACUCCUUGCACACUCACAUCACACGGCCCCUCUCGCCUCCUCGGUCGCAGCUUAUGAGCGGGGGCGCCGUGCAAUCGACGCCACUGACGAACGACACAUGACGCUGACUAGCUGCGUGGGCAGCCAAUACCGCAACCCCAUCCUCUCUGCCUGGAUCCGUCCACCCUUGUCCUCGGUGACGCUGAUCCGGCCUCCACGGAUCUCACCUACCCUGCCAGCAGAAGUAGAGCAGCGGGAAGCAUAGGUGCAAUCACGGUGCUGCUGGACCAAGUCAUGUACGACACGCUGCUCACCGAGGUGAGGAAGUUCAAGCAGAUAACAGUAUAACACCCUCCGCCCUCUUCGAGCUCCUUUGGAUUUUGGUUGCAAGAAGGGGCCCUGUAGGUUGGGAGAUCUUCUGAUCAUGCAAUAGAAAGAAUGGAUCUGGAGGUCUAGCCGUCAGGAAGUUAACGACUUAUAUUGUCCUGCAUGUGUUCAUUCUCGGCUUAUUUUGCUGUAUAUAU